rnacentral:rRNA from 1 species
UAAGGAAUAUUGGUCAAUGGACGCAAGUCUGAACCAGCCAUGCCGCGUGGAGGAUGAAGGUCCUCUGGAUUGUAAACUUCUUUUAUCUGGGAAGAAAUCCAUAAAUUCUUUUAUGGUUGACGGUACCAGGUGAAUAAGCACCGGCUAACUCCGUGCCAGCAGCCGCGGUAAUACGGAGGGUGCAAGCGUUAUCCGGAUUCACUGGGUUUAAAGGGUGCGUAGGCGGAUUGGUAAGUCCGUGGUGAAAUCUCCGAGCUUAACUCGGAAACUGCCAUGGAUACUAUCAGUCUUGAAUAUCUUGGAGGUAAGCGGAAUAUGUCAUGUAGCGGUGAAAUGCUUAGAUAUGACAUAGAACACCAAUUGCGAAGGCAGCUUACUACACGAUAAUUGACGCUGAGGCACGAAAGCGUGGGGAUCAAACAG